UCCCACGCUCCCGCCGGCCUUCCUCCAGUCGCGCCACCCGCCGGCGACCAACAUCGCCCAUCGCCUGCCUCCGUCGUGCACGGGACUGGAUAUGCCCCCCCGGCACCUCUUCCUCCCCUGCCCCCGCGCAUGGAAGCUAGUGACUGCCGCCAUUCGAUGCUCUGCUCCAUCAACUUCAACCACCGGCUCAUGGUGCACGUCAUGUGUUUGCUAAAUUGACUCAGUGCAGUGGAGCACCAUUUUUACUUUGUUUCAUGUUCAUUUGUAGGUAGCUCGUUCUUGCCAAAUGUUGUAGCUUAGAUGACUUCGAAAUGUUUAUCGUGUGUGUGCUACCGUCGCGUGCUAGUCCGAGAAUUCCUAUCGUCACAUAAGUCCAUGUAUUGCUACCAUGGGAGUUCAAAGAAAUUCCUCUAACACGCACCGUGCCCUGGCCCCAUGUUCCGGCAUCGCCCUCCACAGCCUCAGUGUGCAGGCCGUUCACCUCUGCCACCCAGGCCAUUCACCUCUGCCACCGAUGUCCGUUCAAUGCCACCAGGAGAACCCUGUGCGUCAACACCCCUGUCAACCCCGUGCGACUUUGUUCUCUCAGCUUAAAAAAGGGUUAGUUCAGAACUUUGAACACCCAGAGGUUCAGUUCAGAACUUGGCCUGGUGAUACAUUUGGUUUCUUUUCUGCAGCUCAGACAACCUAAAUAGCAGCUGAUCAUUUGUUAAAUUUUGGGUUCAGCUUCACACUACGCAGGAGUGCAUAUUCUUCUGCUUGUAAGUUCUAAUAAUAGAUGGGUGGUUUUGCUAAUCAGUUCAAAGCUCAAAUAACAAAAUUCCUCGCUGGAUUGUAUCGUUCUUUUUUAUUGUUUUUUUUCUUGAUUGAUAUCAGCCACUCCAAGUCCUUUUAUCCAGCCAUGAUAGAGAUCCAUUCAAAUCAGUUGUUCUAUGUUUACACAUUCAGAUAUACUAGUUGGUCUGCUGAAAGAUACGAUAUGUGUACUGUUGAUAAUCUCAAACAUGUUUUACUCAACUUUAGAAAACAUGUAAUAUUGUUGUGCUGCUUUGCAAUGUCUCCAGCAGUCCUACUUCUCCAUGAUGACAAGGACGACGUCGCCAUGCGUGCAUGCUCUCCUUUCUUUCUCCUUCCGAGACGGUGAGGAGCUCCAGCACCGCCGGCGCCGCCAUGCGUGCAUGAUCCCAGUGCCGCACCGCCGGCGCCCAACCCCUCCGCCCGCGAGCUAGGGUACUAGGACGCCCUCCUCACCGCGGUGUCCUUGCUGGCCGUCAGCGGUGGAAGCGGGGUGGCAGCCGGGACCUUGUCGUGCUCGUCUCCGACUACUGUCAAGGCCGUGGAUUACGCCCAACACAUUGUUCCGCAAUGAGCCAGGACAGAGGUUGUUGGACACUGUCGUGCACGCCGUGAUCAACCGUGGCCAUUGGCCACCCCUUCGAUCUGCAGGAGUUUCGGCCAAGAACCAUCGUUGGCCAGCAAGGUGUCGCCUCAUUUUUGUGCAACAACGGCCAUUGAGCUCGGUAAGCCUUGCACGAACAGGCUUCACAAUGAUGAAUGCAUGAAGAUCUUUCCAGGUCCUGGCGACUGUGAUAAAGGCAAGUGCUUAUGUGGUUUUUGCUGAAGAAGAAUGGCCUAGCUUACCUGGCGUAGCAGUACUCAAAGUCAAGUGUCGAUGUUGUGGAAGCUUUGAAACUUUCCCUAGUUGCUUGACUACAAUAACUAUGCCUUUUGAGAUUGUACCAUUUGGUCAUCUCUUGGCUUUGUAUCGAACUUCUAGUCAUCAUGUUACAACUGUUCGAUGAAGAAAAUACAUCAGUUAAAAAGCAUUCAGGUGCUAAUACUGUAGCGAUCUCGUUCACAGCCGCAAAGAUCUUGUUCUAUUUAA